rnacentral:tRNA from 1 species
GCCGAUGUAGCUCAGAGGAAGAGCGCCGGAUUUGGGUCCGGAGGUCAGGGGUUCGAGUCCCUUCAUCCGCACCA